AGAGUAGUACUAGGAUGGGUGAC
rnacentral:siRNA from 1 species